rnacentral:lncRNA from 13 species
UAAUUCCUUUAAAGCGUGCUGUAUAUAUUUUUACUCUGAGACAACUCAAACUUUGUUUCUUCCCACAGUUGUGCUUCCCUCUCAGAGCUAAAGGAGAACUAGGUGUGUCCCAGCUUGGACAUCACGGAGAGUGAAAUCAAAGAUCUGUUUGAUUUUCCUGGUUUCCACUCCAGGCUUAAAAUGCCUCAUGACAGAAGAUUAUAUUGGAAGCUUCAUCUUAUAGGAUGAUCCAAAGCAGCUGGUACAUAAAGAAACUUUUCCAUUUAACAGAUCCUUUCUGCAGAAUUCUGGCUGUACUUUCCCUUAACUGUGUCUUCGACAAACUGAACAGAAGCAGGUGUGAAGUACAUGUGACUGGCAGGUGGCAUAUCAACGUUCAUGGUACUCACAAGAGAAUCUAUCUGACUUACAGUGGGCAUUGUUUGACUCCCUGGCUGAGUUAUAAAACAGAACCACGGGAAAAAGUAAAGUCUAAGAUUCCCCUGUAUGAAAAGGAGUCUGGGUCAUAUGUGUGCUUCCAGUUCUACCUGUCCUGCUUUGGAAUACCAUGCAACACUUCUCCAAAGACAAAAUGUAUGAGAGGAAAUACCAUCAAGCCAAGAUGUUUUUCCUCCAAUUCAUGUACUCCUACAUGUCCAUUCUUGUGUCUAAGGCCCCAUUUCAGUCACUGGUGCUAGCUGAAAUGUUUUAUGAGCUUUUAAAGUAGUGUUCUGUAAUGGUAUUCUUUCAAAUAAAGAAUACCAUUGUGAAAUUUCUAUCAUUUGGGUUGUGGAAGUGACAUCAGCUGUAUAACAAUGAUUCAUGUGAUCAUGGCCUGAUCCUUUCAGAAGAUCACCAUUGCUAACAAUGCUCUUCACAUGCAAAGAGUGGUAGGAUUUAGCCAGGGGCUGCAGCUUACCAAGAAGGGCUCUGGUGCCAGUGGUACUGAUUCCCUUCAGCAGGAAUCCCAGUUGCUUAAGUUCAACUGCAGUUAGAAGUGCUUCAUUCUCAGGAAAACAAACCUGAGAUGGAUAAACCAAAGCUCAGCCUCUAAAUUAUACUGUAGGGCCUUUUAUUUUAAGCCAGCUGGUGCUGAAGUGUGCUUUCCCCAGAAAGGCUGAGUUACUGUUCAUUGGUGUGACCAUUCAACCACUGAAGGUGCAGAAUCUCUUCAUUAAAUUAUGGCAAAUAAUGGGCCACAGGAUAAGACAGCACAACUGUGUAGCUGCUUCUGAGUCUUUCAGAAAUAAUGAUACUUCUUCACCUAAAAUGUCCAAUUAAUACCAAAUCAUGUCUGAAAAUGUAACAGUAACAAAAUAAUGUUUUCUUGGUGGAUGCAUAUGGUUUUCCUAACUACUGUUUAUAUGCUCCUAUCAAACUUGCUGGCACUUGUUCACACCCUCAACUACUUGUGCAGUUAUUAAAUAGCUGACAAAAGUGUAAAACUAUUAGCUAUUAGCUAAAUACAACUAUGUAAAAGUAAUAGUUACAUUAAUACAUUUUUAAUGAACAUUUUUUCCUAAAGCAGAAUAACAAAACCCAAAAUUGCUGUAUGGCUGCUGCACCUAGGAAAAAGUCAAGUUUAAUGAUAAAUCUGGCCUUAGAGAACCAGCCAGAAUGGAUAGAGUUUGAAUAGGAUUUAAAAACCCAACUGUGUGCAGAAAUUAGAGUUUUGCCCCUGAAUCAUAUGGAAUUACAGUGCUGGAUGCGUGUGCCAUGCCUACACAAUAAAGCCCAGAGGAAGCAGCUAUUUCUGUUGGUUUUAUUAAACCAACCAAGCAAUUUAAUUCUUUUGUUCAGGAGAGUUCUACUUCAUUGAUUAACAAAAGCAGGGAUAUAAUUUUUUCAGCCUUUUUGAAAAGCCUGAAAUGUCAAGCCUUUUAAAGCAGAUUAUUCUGCCUCUGUGCAGUGAAUACAGCCAGAGUAACCUUUUGUCUACAAUUAAAUAUUCUAGCAUAAAUAUAAAAGAAAAUCAGAGAUGGGAAAGAUUGACUCACGAGAGAUUGGAGAGGUAGAUUCGCACGGUGAUAGUGCAAGCAGCUUGCUUCUAAUUAAAUAUGCGACUGAGUCUCAAAGCAUUUGCUUUCAGCCGCAGAGAGAAGAAGCUGCCCAAGAAUGGAAAGGAAGAAAUAUAUCACAUCAUCUGUCUGUCCACAGGCUUUCCUCUGGGCUUAUGGAGGUAUUUUAGAAUUUUUGUAUGGGCAUUUUUCAUGGGAGAUAGAGGUGAACUCUCGAGGGCAGUAAGGCAACAAUCUUGAAAGUUUGGGCUUCCUUGUUUGUAGACUAAUCUGACUUUAUUAGUUCUUUUUAUUCCAUAAGGGCUGUUAAUACCAAAUAGGGGUUUUUGAACAUUUUGAUGCCUGGGGUGGUGAUCUUGGGGUCUGUGUCAUGGUUUUAGUGACCUUUAUCUGUUUUUGUCACAGUUCAUCACUGAGAUAUUUAUUGAUUAUUUUUUCUGUCCUACUUCAGUUUGUAUAAUUCUUUAAUGCAUAUUUUUAUUUGUACAUUAUAAACUGAGAACUCAGAAGGUAAAAUUCAAGGAUCUUUAGCCAUUUCUAAUAAAAUGUAUUUUAGAAAAUGAUAAGGUUUGCAGUUGGAGUCUUAGCUUUAUUUAUAUUCAUAAGCCUUUCAUCUUUAUACAUGCUCAUGGUAUUUUCAGUGAAGUACUUAAAUGUGGCACUUAUAAAAUGCUGAUGACAUAAAAUAUGGUUGAUCCUCUUAGGGUUUGCUGCUUACACUGAAAAUGUUAGAAAAUAAUAGGAACAGAAAUUUCUUUAGUUAUAAACUCUACCUUGCUAUUUCAGAUUCUAAUGUUUAUUGAAAUUAUUCAAAGUACUUUUCAUAACUUUGUUUUGGGGUCUUCUUUCUCAGUCUAAACUUUUCUCAUUUGCAGAGAGGAUUAAUGUUGUACUGUGAAUUUAAAAUGAAUAUUUGGAAGAAAUAAAAGCAAUUUGCUUGGCUUUCGUUGGUAAUUAACAAUGUUUGAACCUGCUUGUGUUCUCUUUUGCAUAUUUCCAGUGGAAUAUUUUGUUUAGAAUCUUGUCACUACCACAUUAAUCUAUAUCUAGAUUCAUUUUUUUAUAAGUUAAAUUGCAAUAUUUAGGAAUAGCAUUUUUGAAUACUUAAAAAGAAAAAUGAAAAUUAAUCUCUUGAUGUCAGCGUGGAGUUUAAAUUUAUACUGUAAUAACUUUAUGGUGUUUCUUUGUUUAAAAAGGUAGCUUUUAGCAUAUUGCAGUUAGCUUUGCAUUGAUUAAUAAAUAAGGAAAGUUUAGUCAUCUGUGGAGAAAACACCUGCAUUUU